rnacentral:lncRNA from 1 species
UCAGGAAUAAUGAUAAAAAAUAACUAGAUUCAGGACUUUGACUUUCAAUGUCCAUAAAUGCUAGCAUUUAUGAUCUUGGCUGCUGGGACUCUGGCUCAUGGUGUGGAAGAGUGCUGAACUGUGACUGCAUUCUCACCAACAGAAAAACAGGUUUUCAAGUUAGCUCACCUUAUUUUUAUUUCCCCCUCCCCCCUGUUUUUCCCUAACAUGACUUCACCAGGGAAAUCUCAAGGGAAUAACCUAUUAGGGAAGCACUGUUGCUCCAUUUCUCUUUUGGUAAGGAAGACAGGUGUGUAAGUCUAAAUAUCCUUUAGAAAACUAAAUUACUAGAAGAUAGAUUGAAAUUUAACUUUCUCCCUCAGCCAGAUCUGGCAUACAAGGUUUUACUUCACUCAAAAAACUUAAAACUAAUGAAGUGCAGGCUCUGUGGUGCUUUGGGCUCAAGCUAUUUCAUAUGCUCCUGGAACAUGUGAAUAAACAUGUCAAGGCAAAUUUCACUUAUCCCUAAUAAAGCAGAAGGUAAUAAGGUAGAAAGAGAGCUUGUGUAACUAAUCAAUCAGUUGUUACCCAAGGCUGUGGGAUUAUGGAAUUAAGAUUGCCUUAUGCAUUUCAUAGGUAUAAACCUGGUUAGCUUUCUAAAGAAAUACUUCAGAAGUUGGAUUUUACUGUUUGAAAAAAAUGUGACUGAACCAUCAUCUCCGCAAGACUUUGAACCAUUAGUAGCAGUAUUAGUCUGUCACUGUUUAAAUAUGUAGUUCUGAAAAGCCAGGGUUUUUUUGUUUUUUUUUUUUUAAUGUGGAAUAAAAAAGGAACAGGAGAGAAAGGUACUUUAAAUUUUUAUCUGAUAGUUUGAACAAGCAGGACUUUGCAAGAAAAUAAUUCUAAAGCCUGAAAAAUAUAUUACAAGACUUGUUAAUGUCUUUAUGGUUACAAAAAUCAUCUAGGCUCUUAUACAAAUCUAUAGCCAGAAGGGAACAUUUAUAAAAAAAUAAAUAGGCACCCUAGGAAAGUUAAAACAAGUUAUCAUGUAUUAGUUAGCAAAUAUUAAGUACAUACAUACGUGGAGUGCACAGUCAAAUAUAAAAACAAAGGUGCCUCAAUUAGCUGUCUAUUUAAUUAAAUACCUGGUAAACAUGGGUCGCAUAGAAAGUUGUCGGGUAAGAUCGGUUCAAGCAAAGCAAGGAGACUGGAAGUACACCUACGUUACUACAGCUACCUUAAAAAGAUGUUUACCAGUUGUGCUUUACUGGAAGCCAGAUUCAUUGGUAUCGGUAAUAGGCAUUCAUAUUGCUUAUUGUACACAAGUAUGAACAUUGCUAUGCAUGUUUAAAAAUAAGUGUCCUAAUAUUCACAGUUGUUGCUGUGCUACUGAUACAUAAAAAUACUGUCAUUUCAAAUACAAGAUUUUUUCAAAA